rnacentral:rRNA from 1 species
UACGGAGGGUGCAAGCGUUAUCCGGAUUCACUGGGUUUAAAGGGUGCGUAGGUGGGCAGGUAAGUCAGUGGUGAAAUCUCCGAGCUUAACUCGGAACUGCCGUUGAUACUAUUUGUCUUGAAUAUUGUGGAGGUAAGCGGAGUAUGUCAUGUAGCGGUGAAAUGCUUAGAUAUGACAUAGAACACCAAUUGCGAAGGCAGCUUACUACACAACGAUUGACGCUGAGGCACGAAAGCGUGGGGAUCAAACAGG